UACAGAGGGGGCAAGCGUUGUUCGGAAUUACUGGGCGUAAAGGGCGCGUAGGCGGCCUGCUAAGUCGAACGUGAAAUCCCUGGGCUCAACCCAGGAACUGCGUCCGAUACUGGUUGGCUUGAGUUCGGGAGAGGGAAGCGGAAUUCCGGGUGUAGCGGUGAAAUGCGUAGAUAUCCGGAGGAACACCGGUGGCGAAGGCGGCUUCCUGGACCAACACUGACGCUGAGGCGCGAAAGCUAGGGGAGCAAACGGG
rnacentral:rRNA from 1 species